AAAAGAGAGUUAAAAAGUACGUGAAAUUGUUGAAAGGGAAGCGCUUGUGACCAGACUUGGGCUUGGUUGAUCAUCUGGGGUUCUCCCCNGUGCACUCUUCCGGCUCAGGCCAGCAUCAGUUCGCCCUGGGGGAUAAAGGCUUCGGGAAUGUGGCUCUCUCCGGGGAGUGUUAUAGCCCGCUGCGUAAUACCCUGUGGCGGACUGAGGUUCGCGCAUUCGCAAGGAUGCUGGCGUAAUGG
rnacentral:rRNA from 1 species